GACGAACCGAGCGAACGUUGUUCGGAAUCACUGGGCUUAAAGGGCGCGUAGGCGGGCUGCCGCGUCCGGGGUGAAAUCCUCCGGCUCAACCGGAGAACGGCCCCGGGUACGGGCGGCCUCGAGGGGUGAGGGGCGUGCGGAACUGUGGGUGGAGCGGUGAAAUGCGUUGAUAUCCACAGGAACUCCGGUGGCGAAGGCGGCACGCUGGACCCCCACUGACGCUGGAGCGCGAAAGCCAGGGGAGCGAACGGG
rnacentral:rRNA from 1 species